GAUCAUGGCUCAGGAUGAACGCUAGCGGCAGGCUUAACACAUGCAAGUCGAGGGGCAGCAUAAUGGAUAGCAAUAUCUAUGGUGGCGACCGGCGCACGGGUGCGUAACGCGUAUGCAACCUACCUUUAACAGGGGGAUAACACUGAGAAAUUGGUACUAAUACCCCAUAAUAUCAUAGAAGGCAUCUUUUAUGGUUGAAAAUUCCGGUGGUUAGAGAUGGGGCAUGCGUUGUA
rnacentral:rRNA from 1 species